rnacentral:rRNA from 1 species
GACGAACGCUGGCGGCGUGCUUAACACAUGCAAGUCGAACGGAAAGGCCCUGCGUUUGUGGGGUGCCCGAGGGGCGAAGGGGUGAGUAACAGGUGAGUAACCUGCUCUUGACUUUGGGAGAACUUCAGGAAACUGGGGUUAAUAUCGGAUAGGAGAUGCUGCUGCAGGGUGGGGGGGGGAAAGUUGCGGCGGGUGGGGCUGGAUUCGCGGCUUAUCAGCUUGUUGGUGGGGUAGUGGCUGCCCAAGGCUUUGACGGGUAGCCGGCCGGGGAGCGUGACCGGCCCCCUUGGGCCUGCGAUACGGCCCAGACUCCUACUGUAGGCAGCAGUCGCGAAUCUUGCCCAACGGGCGGAAGCCUGAUGCAGCAACGCCGCGGUCGUGAUGCCGUCCUUCUGGUUGUAAACAGCUUUCGCCUGUGACGAAGCGUGUGUGACGGUACCGAGUAAAGAAGCACCGGCUAACUACGUG